GAGGACUUGACCAGGUAGCCAUUUUCGUUUUUUGUGGUGUGCGGGUGCCUUUGCAUGGUUUGUGUGUUACACGUUAUUGUAAAAUAAUUAGAAGAAUCUGCAUCCAUUCGUUCAAGGCUAACCGUUUAUCGCUUGACGGUGCACCAAAUUAUAAAGAGGCUGUACGUCGCAUAAUGUCGGCGGUAAUGACUGAUCAAUUGGCGGUAUUUUACAGUUAUAAAGGACAUAAAGGGAAACGGAAGUUUCACGAAAAAUAUUUAUCAAGUAUUGUCAUAAAUGCUGUCCAAGUGUGUCACUCAAAAACUUCAGAAAAUAUGUUAUUAAAAAAAUAUAUUGAAAGUGAAAUAGCGUUAUGGUUAAGUAAAGCUACUGAAAGGUCAAAAAAACAUUUAAAAAA